GUUGUGCGGUGCCAGGACUUGACCCACAUGUGAGCAGAGAGUGUCGGCCAUGUUCACAGUGGUUAAGUUCUGCCGCCGCA